CUGUGCCCUCUGAACCUGGCUGCAGCCAAACAAAACCAUUUCCUGCUAUCUUUGGUGCCUUGUCUCGUUUGUCCCUACUAAACUAAUACUCCAGAGUGAAAAUUAUCAAUGUAAAUGAUACUCAAAUAGCUGGGACCAACCACUAAUUCUUUCUAAAUCAUCUAACUUACUGUCUGGAAUCUUACCUCCUUAGAACAGGUGGCCCACAGGUUUUCUUGAUCAUCUUUUUGGGCAAUUUGGUUUGUUGCUUUCUUCUUGUCAGUUUUCCAGGCCUACGAAGCUGUAAACAUUUACAUUAUGGUUCAAGUACAACAAAAUUAAUUUUUAAUUAUGCUUAUUGAGGCAGAAGAAGUCCAAGACUUGACUUACACAGUUACUUGUAAAUAAUCUACAUUUUAAACCUCAUUGGAGUUGUCCACUUGAUGUUUCUCUAUGAAUUUUGAACUUCUGUUGUCUUUUGCCUUUUUAUUGUGUAGGAAAGAAUAGCUGUCUAAAUUUGCUCUGUGGUUUUGUAAACACUUUCUGUAAAGUGUAUAUAAACAGUUUCAUAUAGCACUUGCAAUAGAGGCUUUUGUGGGCCUUCUGUUCUUUGUGUUUAAUGCGUAGAAAGAAAAAAUAUGUCUCAUUUGUUGCAUGAUUGUUAUCAACUACUUAUUUCUUAACUGGAUCUAAAAUUCAUUUAACAUCAGAUACUUCCACUAAAUCUCCUAAUUGGAAAAAAGCAAUUCAAAUAAUCACUAUCAGGAGAAGAAUGUUUAGUUUGGAAUAUUUUUUGAAGUAAAACUAUAACACAAAGUUUCAUUUUAACUGCUAUGUUUUCUAAGGAAUUUAUUUGAGCCAAUCAAUAAUGAUAAGUUUUAAAUAUACAUGAUUUAGGAACAGAGAGAAGGGAUGAGAAUUGAAAACAUGCAGUAGUUUUCAAAGCCUCUUUAGAAAGUAGAGGAAGGGAUUUGACACCUUUCCUUCAAAAUAUUUACAGCUAACAUGACUCUAAAAUUUGAAAUGUAUUGUGAGGUUUUCUUACUUUCAUUUCUUUUAAAUCCUUCCCUGUAUUGUAUCACAGUCUACAUUUAUAAAUGUACAUUUUCCUUAGUGGGACACAUUGGGUUGAAGGAUGAAAGGUGUGAUAGGAUCAAAGGGUAUUUAAACAUCAUUGACUCCAACUCCAUGUUCCUUGGAGUAGGACAUCUGGAGUUAAUUCACUUGCCUGGGGCCAUAUAUCAGGUCUGUAGCAGCCAGGGAUAGAACAUUGUCUGUCUUUCUUUGUGUCCAUGUUCUUGCCAGGAUAUUCUACUCACUGCAUGUUUGAUUUUAGGGUAAGUUUUAGGCUGCUAGGAACUCAGUUAGGAAGUUACCCAUGGCACUUUACAGAUGGAUACAAAUUGUUCUAGUCUUUCUUUUUAAGCUUAUAUCCAUGAACUCCCAACUCAGUUUCCUUAGAAAACAAGGUCCAGACUGUUAAGUAUCCUUAUGCUGGUGGUAUGGAAACUGAUUGGUAAAAUAUCAGUACGUAGAAAAUUAAUUAAUAAAAUAACUCAUUUCUUAUUUCAUAUGGAUCAGGAGCAUGUGUGUGCCAGGAGUUGUUGUAAAUGUAGUGGACAACAACAACCCAAGAAAUAGCCCCAAAUCCCUGCCAUUAUGGAGACAGGGUUCUAGUUGUAAAGAUGAAGUUAAGGUCCAGGGGAAUAGAAAAGAAGUAGAUGAGAUUACUGCAUUCAAGUGCUUAAUAUCUGUCAAAUUCAACAGCACAAGAGAAAAAUGUAAUAGCUGCUGUUAUUGUGACUUAUAGAUAACUGUUUUUAAAAAACAGUUUCUUGUAUUUUUUUUUCUAACAAUACAGUGGAUAAUUCCUGGUGGAACCAGGGCUCAAAUGCAGUUGAUUGGAUUCUAAAUUCUUUAAUCUUUUUGGUACAGCAUUUGUUGUUAUUGUUUUUUUAAAUAAAUGACAGCAGAAUGCAUUAAAAUUCUUAUAACAAAUAUACAACACAAUUUUUCAUAUCUAUUGUUGUAUAUAAAGUAUGUUGACACCAAUUCAUGUCUUCAUACAUAUACUUUGGAUAAUGAUGUCUAUUGAUACAAUUUCAAGACCCAGCUUCUCCUCUGAAUUUAAAAUUCACUGGCUUAAACAUAACACAACAAUCUAGUUUCUUUAUCUAUAAAACAAGAACAGUAAGCCUAGCCCUAACUUUUUUUGUUUUGCAGGAGAUUUUUGAAAAUUCAAUAAAAUGGCUUUUAUGAAACUAGUUUCUAAACCACUAUAUAAAUGUAAAUAUUAUUAUACACCAUAAUUUUCUUGUUUUUUGUCCAGAGAAAACUGAAGAAUUUUUUUUCAGAACCAAGAAAUAAAAUAAAAACUUAAAGAAUCUCCCCCCGCCCCCGCCCCACCACCACCAUUUUUUAUAGUUUGUAAGUUGGAAAUAGUUUUAGUUUUGUCAAUAACUAAUCUAAUCUUUUAUGGACUAUUCUCUGUAUAUCUAAGAAUACCUGUAAACCACAGUUAAGAAAAUAUUCUCCUACAUUCUAAAGUUUUUAUAAUUUUAUAAUUAACAUUUAGUAUUGUUUAUUAUGUAUGACUUGGGGAGGGUUACUAGUUUCAUUUUUUCAAUUUUCAUGUUGCCCUGGUAAACUUUUGUAAAUAGUCCAUUCUUUUCUCACUGGUAUAAAAUGUCAUCAAUAAAGUUUGUAAAUGUGUAAGUUUG
rnacentral:lncRNA from 1 species